rnacentral:misc_RNA from 1 species
UCUCCGUUGGUGAACCAGCGGAGGGAUCAUUAUCGAGUUUAUAACUCCCAAACCCUAUGUGAACUUACCACUUGUUGCUUCGGCGCGCGCUUCGGUGCCGCCGAGGACACUUAAACUCUUUGUUUUUAUAAGCAUUUCUGAGUGGCCGAAAGGCAAAAUACAAAUGAAUCAAGACUUUCAACAACGGAUCUCUUGGUUCUGGCAUCGAUGAACGCAGC